rnacentral:lncRNA from 1 species
AGCAGAGCAAGAAUUGCUUGCUGUUUUUUUUUUGGGGGGUCAGUGUAGAAUUUGGACCAUAACAGUCCAAUGCAACAAAGAUUAGGGCCCUCCAAUGCGCGAAGACUUACUACUCCCGAAGUCGUUUAGAAGAAACGCCAAAUUUUCCAAAGUCGCAAUUAUCCACAGUUCCACACUGCGACUGUACUUGCCAUCAACCAUACGCCAAACAACCCUUACCCCUGAGGAACGCGCGUUUACUUGAAUCCCCAGGUCUCGGAGUCAGGUCAACGAUCCUUUCUUUUCCAUUCCAUUUUCCAACAAUCACCUUCACCUCCGGCGUCUCCGCCCUCCUCUUCAACAGCGGAGAUCAAAACCCUCACCAUAACCUCCGACACCCGCCCCACGAUCCUCUUUGGAGAAAUUCGGCUUCAUCCACUCCGGCUCCGUGGUGGCAUCAGGUGGGUCCCAACUCGAUCCUGAGCGAAAAGUCCCUCCUCCAAGUCCUGAUCGAGACCACUGUUGCCUCCAAGAACGAAGGUGAGGGUUGUUUUUCACGCGCUUUGGGAUGUUUGCGUUCAAGACCACUGUUGCCUAUGAGUACAAGUGGGUGUGUUUUGCAUUGUCGAGAAUGAUGAAUACUCUCUGACUUUGACCGCUGAGGAGAAGGAACAAGUCAAGGAAUAUGAAUGAACUAAACUUAAGCUUUGAAACAAUUUCACUGCAGGUACUGUUGGUUCACCGUGUUAAAAAUCACUCCAUUGGGUUUCUCUAUAUACUAGGUUAUAGUAUACUAAGUUUGAGGUUGCAACUAUGUUGUUCCUUCUUUUUUUAAGACUAUUAUUACACGUAGCCUUUUUUUGUUAUAAAAUAGACAUAUACUCUGGAAUAAAAAAUGUUUGAUAAUGUUAUUGCUCAAAUUGUCUCCCCUUGAGGAACAAUAUACUCAGCUCUUAUCGGGUUACUAAUUAUUGUUAUUUGAUCUUAGUUUUUUUGUAACAUUUGUUGGUUGGACCGAGCUCGCCUUAGUUUAAUCUAACCUUGGUGUGUAUAUAUUACUCUGACUAGUCUCAUUUCUAGCUCAUAGCUCUUCCUAACUUGGAACUUGGAGCUGGAGGUCACGUAUCAGUAUUGGUCCGAACCAAGAUUAGAUAUAACUUGAAGUCAGUGUGAUUCAUACCAAUAAGGAAGGAUUUCCCACAUGAUUUUCUGAAUCAACUAGACAUAUUAUUUUAUUCCUUUCUAAUUAACCUUGACUUUUGAUUUUGAUUUUGAUAUUAAUAUUAAGUACAGCCUCCUUCGCAUAUUACAUUGAAGUUGCUUGAAUUUUUUCUUUUUAAUUUAUAAAUGGAAUUGAAAAUAGUGCUAUAUACUAUAUAGAGUUCAAAAAUUGCCAAACCCCUUCAUGACACCUUCAAACUCCGAAUUAGAAAAAUGUGACUUUUCUUUCCAAAAUUUAAUUGUUAUUAUUUAUUUGCGUCAUUUUUAAAUUAUUUGCGGAUAGUAAACUAGUCUCAUAUUCACUAAUCUUGAAAAAAAAAAUACAUACAUUAUAAUAUGUCAUUAAUCAAAAUUUCUGGGUCAUAUAAAAUGAAUAAAUUUCACUUUUUUAAUCCCUCUUGGAUCAAUAAACCAUCCUAAUAGGUGUAGGAUGUUGCUAUUCUUAACUUCAGUUUUGCAGCAAAUUUAUCAGAGGGGAUUAGUUUUACAAACUAAUUUUUCAUCUGGGUCUGUUUGCAAAGUAUUUCUUUGGAAGGUCACUUUUUGACGUAACAUGGACGUAUAUCGCCAAGCUGAAUGGCGAUAUACGCCUGGGGUGCUUGUUCUAUCAGGACGAAUGGCAAAAUAGCUGGCACAGUGGUUUCGCCACUUUGAGUGAUGAUUUAGGUGCAUAGGGCUGGUCAGAGCAGAAGGUACAGAGGGUUAGAGCAGGCUAGGGUUUUUUUUUGCAGAAAUGGCUAGCGGAAUAGGCUUUGCAUGCAUUUCGCAGGAGCCUCUGGCGAAACAGGCUAUGCAUAUUUCGCAAAUUCCAUUGGCGAAAUAGCCUUCCUUUAAAUACCCAUUCAUUUUGUGAUCCAUUUGGAAUGUCUGAGUUUUCAAUUUAGGGUUUAUUUCCUUUCAAAAUUUUCCAACUACUGCGUUUAAAUAGCAGCCAUCCUUUCGUGGGCAUUUGAAAAUUCUUGAGCUCUCAAAAUUUUUUGAGUACAGUCUAUAAAAUUUCUGAGCCUUUCCACUAUGUUUAUCAAUCUCUCUCAUGAUAUUAUUUAUUUGAAGUAAUAAUUUUGAAUGGGUAAGAGCAGCACCAGCACUAUAAAACGCGUAAGAGUAGCACCAACACUUUCUCUAUAAAUAUAUUAUCAACCAUUACAACUUUUAUUAUUUCAUGUACAUAAACAACUUGCAUGGCAAAUAUGAAUCAGUUAUCAUACAUAAUAAAUAUAUAUACAUGUCUAUAAUAAAAAAAAUUAAAUAACUCGUACAAGUAUUUAACCAGCACAAGAAUGAACUCCAGCAGCCUAAGGAGGAAGCUCAAAAAUAUUUUUGAAGAUUUCGCAAUCAACUUUGGCGAAACAAGCAACAAGCAACAAGAGGCAAAGCGGGGGAGGGAGCUCACAAGAAUUUUCAGCACCCAGCAACACCAAAACGAGGCGCUAAAUAGCCCCAGCAUAGGGUGUUUCGCCAGUGGGAAUGGCAACACCCACAUGCAACCUGUUUCGCUAACUUGGCUGGCGAUACAUGCCUGCACCUGCCACUUGAAAAUCGCGCCUACCCUCUGCCACCUGAGGCCUAGCCUGCUGCCCAUGUGUGUCGCCAGGUUGACUAGCGAAAUCCAAAGCCAUUUCGUAGAUGUCAAUGGCGAAAUGGAUAUCACGCAUCGUUCCCAUGCAUGUUUCGCCAGCAUGCAUGGCGAUAUGCAUUUAAAAAGUGAUCUCCCAUGAAAAUACUUUGCAAACAGAUCUAGAUGGGGAAUUAGUUUGUAAAACUAACCCGCUUUGGUAAAUUUGCCUCAGUUUUGCUAUUCUCACAACUAACCUUUUAAAAACAUGCAAAAGACACUUUUGUCCUCUUGUCCUUUCCUACACCCCCUUCCCCAUCCCCUUUCCCUCACUCCUCACUCUCCAAUUCCCCCAUCCUACUUCCCCUUUUCUCUUUUAUUUUUAACUUUUAUAUUUAAGGGAAUCGAGAUUCAAUUAUGUAAAAAUAUACAACUGAUCAUGAUUUCAUUUUAUAUCUUAAUCUAAUCCACAAUAAAAUUAUCUUUUCAUUAUGUAAUUUCUUUGACAUACCCUCAAGCAGCAAUUUCAAAUUGCUAUUUGGAUCCAGUUUUUCCUUGUCAUGUGUACGGUAUCACGUCAAGUUGAAUGCCGAUUCAUCAUCUAGCAUGGCAGAUUAAAAAAUUACACACAUAAGAAGUAACAAUUUCUAUUAUUCAUGGGGAUAUUGUGGCCUGAUAUCCUAUUUUAAAGACCACAAAAGUUAAAUCUUAAAGCAAUUUCUUUUACUUCUUUAUAUUUUUCUUGUUGUUGGACUUGUUUUUUUUCUUCUUAAAAUUGUUGUUACAUUUCUGUCAAAUGUUAUUGAAUAUUUGAAUUGAAAUUUUUCUGAAAUAUUAAUUUUUCUUAGGGGAAAACAUGAAUUUCUUUUGUGAAUUGUUAGUUUUAUUCAAAUUAAACAAAUUUAUAUAGUUCUUUUGUAAUUUUCUCACUGUAGGAGGCUUUUUUUUAAGGUACAGUUACAUUAUUUUUUAAUGUCUUUCGUGAUUUUUAGUUUGGGCUUCUAGCCCCUUGUAUUACCAAAAAAAAGAACUUACACUAUUUUUAGUAGCAACCAUAAUUAUAUUUGCAAUUUCGUUAGUUUUUAGUAGCAACCAAAACUAUUUUUAUAACUUGAUGCAAUCAACAAUUUCUGCUUGUUGUUUGGGCACACACAGUACACGUGACAGUGGAUAUCGAAACCACCAAUUCUAGCCUGUUGUAUCUUCUUCUUACUACCUCAAGCAACUAUCCAUUUUUGUUGUUUCAUAGCGUUUCAGUUGUUCGUUAUCAGUCAUCAUACCGUGUCUAACAACUAUAGCUUUGUUAACGAAAUUCCCAACAUUGAAAACACAAUUUGCAACUGCUGGUUCAUGAAAGCAAUAUCCUCAUUCUCAAAUUUUUCUGACAAAGAAUUACGUGAAAUCGUGGAAAUGAAACAAUAUGUCAAAACUAUUAGUGCAUCUGCUCCUUAGUAAAAAAAAAAAGAUCCAUGUCAAUAAUAUAUUUUGAAACAGACCCAUUUCAAUGAUAAGUUUAUUAAAAAGACCCAAAAAGGAUCAAUCAUCCAUUAUUUUAUCAUCAAGUAUUAGAAAAAUUAUUAAUAAAAUACUAUAGAAAAAUUAAUUGCAAGACUUCAAGUCUACUAUUGAGUAUUGACUAUAAAGCCGGAGCAAGACUUUGGGCCACAAUAAUAAUAGCCCAAUGCAAAAUAUGGGCCCCUCCAACAGUACUUUCCGUGUAUAUUGAGAAAGAAGAACUAAAAUCAUUAACUCCGUCAGGCCAGCACGAGGACUUACAAGACACGACGUCGUUUAAGAAACGCGAAAUCAUCGUCACUGCAACAAAACUCGUUGUUUACUUGAACGCUUGAACCCUCAGGUCAGCGAUCUUCUCCUUCCCCUUCUUCGUUCAUUCCAAUUCUCAACAAUUCACCGCUCCGAAAUGGGCAUAACCGCCUCCACCAAUGCCGUCGCCACCCUCCUCCUCCUCUUCUUCUUCAUUUCCCCUUCAGCCGCAGAGAUCAAAACCCUCACCAUAACCUCCGACACCCGCCCCAUGAUCCUCUUGGAGAAAUUCGGCUUCACCCACACCGGCCACGUGUCGAUCUCUGUCUCCUCCG